UUAAGCUAAGAAGAGCGUAGGGAGAAUGCCUUGGCAUUAGGAGCCGAUGAAGGACGUGAUAAGCUGCGAUAAGCUGCGGGGAUCAGCAAGUAUGAAUUGAUCCGCAGAUUUCCGAAUGGAGCAAUCCGUAUGUGUAUGCACAUACAUCAUAUACUGAAUCAAAUAGGUAUAUGAGGGGAACCGCCUGAACUGAAACAUCUAAGUAGGGCGAGGAAGAGAAAUCAACCGAGAUUCUGUGAGUAGUGGCGAGCGAAAGCGGAAGAGGCUAAACCAUAGGUAGCAAUACUUAUGGGGUUUCGGACAGCAUUUAGUAUUGAUAAUUUCUAGUUGAAACGUGUGGGAAAACGUACCGAAGAGUGUGAGAGUCACGUAAGCGAAAGAGAAAGUCAGCGAGCUGUAUCCAAAGUACCGCGGGACACGUGAAACCCCGUGGGAAGAUGGGGGGACCAUCCUCCAAGCCUAAAUACUACCUAAUGACCGAUAGCGAAUAGUACUGUGAAGGAACGGUGAAAAGAACCCCGGGAGGGGAGUGAAAAAGAACCUGAAACCCUAUGCUUACAAGCACCGAGAGCACGUCAAAGUGUGAUCGGGUACCUUUUGUAGAAUGGUCCGGCGAGUUAUUGUAUGCGGCAAGGUUAAGUGCUUAAGGCACGGAGCCGAAGCGAGAGCAAGUCUGAAUAGGGCGAGUAAGUCGUAUGCAAUAGACCCGAAACCGAGUGACCUAUCCAUGUCCAGGCUGAAGUGGAGGUAAAACUCUAUGGAGGGCCGAACACACGUCCGUUGAAAAGGCCGGUGAUGAGGUGUGGAUAGCGGAGAAAUUCCAAUCGAACUCGGAUAUAGCUGGUUCUCUCCGAAAUAGCUUUAGGGCUAGCCUCGUGAAAGAUUACUGGAGGUAAAGCACUGAAUGGGCUAGGGGUCGAAAGAUUACUGAACCCUAUCAAACUAAGAAUGCCAGAUAAUUGAUUCACGGGAGUCAGACAAUGUGAGAUAAGUCUCAUUGUCAAAAGGGAAACAGCCCAGACCCACAGCUAAGGUCCCUAAACAUUGUUAAGUGGAAAAGGAUGUGGGGUUGCAUAAACAACCAGGAUGUUGGCUUAGAAGCAGCCACUCAUUAAAAGAGUGCGUAAUAGCUCACUGGUCGAGUGACCCUGCGCCGAAAAUUCAACGGGGCUAAACAAUAUACCGAAGCUUGGGAUUCUAAAGUAAUUUAGAGUGGUAGGAGAGCGUCGAAUAAGGGGUGAAGUCAGAGCGGAAGCGCUGGUGGACUUUAUUCGAGUGAGAAUGCCGGAAUGAGUAGCGAGAAUUAUGUGAGAAUCAUAAUGGCCGAAAAUCUAAGGUUUCCUGAGGAAGGUUCGUCCGCUCAGGGUAAGCCGGGGGCUAAGGCGAGGCGGAGACGCGUAGCCGAUGCACAUACGGUUGAAAUUCCGUAGCCACCGAAAGAUUUAAAUACAGGGACGCUUUAGAAGUGAUGUUGCCGGGCGAUGGUUGACCCGGUCGUAAGGGAUCGAAAAUGAGUAGAGAAGUCAUCAUGGAAAGAGACAAGAAAAGCUGUAUGGAUAUCUUAGGUGCCCGUACCGCAAACCGACACAGGUAGAUAGGAAGAAGAUUCUAAGGCCAACGGGAGAAGGGUUGUUAAGGAACUCGGCAAGUUGACCCCGUAACUUAGGGAUAAGGGGUGCUCAAGUGAUUGAGCCGCAGAGAAUAGGCCCAGGCGACUGUUUAGCAAAAACACAGGUCUCUGCUAAAUCGAAAGAUGACGUAUAGGGGCUGACACCUGCCCGGUGCCGGAAGGUUAAGAGGAGAUGUGAGAGCAUUGAAUUGAAGCCCCGGUAAACGGCGGCCGUAACUAUAACGGUCCUAAGGUAGCGAAAUUCCUUGUCAGGUAAGUUCUGACCCGCACGAAUGGUGUAACGAUUUGGGCACUGUCUCAACAACCCACCCGGCGAAAUUGUAGUACCGGUGAAGAUGCCGGUUACCCGCGACUAGACGGAAAGACCCCAUGGAGCUUCACUGCAGCUUAAUAUUGGAUUUCGGUAUUUCAUGUUGGAGGCGACGAAGCCGGUAAGGUAGCCUGGAAAACCUGUCCUAAAUGCCAAAAGCGCAUGCAGGAUGAGCAUUUGGCUAAUGUGGAUGAAUUACAGAGUUACCUGAUCCAUCGCGUAGAAGUGUUUCUCAAUGCUCAUGGACGUAAACUGUUAGGAUGGGAUGAGAUUUUGCAAGGAGGACUGGCGCCCAAUGCUACUGUGAUGUCAUGGCGUGGUGAACAAGGAGGUAUCGAUGCCGUAAAAUCCGGUCAUCAGGCGAUUAUGACUCCCGGGUCACAUUGUUAUAUAGAUGGUUAUCAAGAUCCACCUUAUUCCCAACCUGAGGCUAUUGGCGGAUAUCUGCCCUUGGAAAAGGUAUACUCUUAUAAUCCGAUCCCUGCCUCACUUACACCUGAUGAAGCGAAGCUGAUUUAUGGUGUCCAAGCCAAUCUUUGGGCGGAAUACAUCCAGACUGACGAGCAUUGUGAAUACAUGAUUUAUCCUCGUAUUCUUGCGUUGGCCGAAGUGGCUUGGUCUGCUCCCGAACGAAAAUCAUGGACUGAUUUUCGCCCGCGUGCUCUAAAAGCCGUAGCAUAUCUACAAUCCAAGGGAUAUCAUCCGUUUGAUUUGAAAAAGGAGAUCGGUAAUCGGCCUGAAGCGUCAAAACCGGUUCAGCAUCUUGCCUUG
rnacentral:rRNA from 1 species